rnacentral:snRNA from 1 species
AAAGAUAUGAUGUGAUGAGGAUCUUUCCCACCAGGUCACCUGAGUUGACGCAGCUAACCUGGAUAGCUAAGCAGGAGUCCCUUCUUCUCUAACCACUUUAUAUGUGUCUGCUCUGAAGCUACCUGCUACAUAGAAGAGGACCAUUUUCAGUCAAUGAAACACUAGCAGCCGUGCUCCCUGCUAGAGCCUCCAAACACACUCUCGAGGAUGAAGGAGCAUGAUUGAGGCAUUCGUGUAAGAGGCCAUAAGAAUCAUCAUCAUGGCUACCUCAUAGGUGGUGGGU